UUCGCCCUUCCUACGGGAGGCAGCAGCCGAGAAUAUUCGACAAUGGGCGAAAGCCUGAUCGAGCGACGCCGCGUGCAGGAAGAAGGUUUUCGGAUUGUAAACUGCUUUUCUACAGGAAGAAUAAAUGACGGUACUGUAGGAAUAAGGAGCUGCAAACUACGUGCCAGCAGCCGCGGUAAUA
rnacentral:rRNA from 1 species